GAGCUACCCGCCCUGGAUAAUCGCCCAGCCCAGCCCAACCCAGGAGAAAGUACCUCAGCAGCAAACCCCACACUGAAGAUGGAGAAAAAGCACACUCUGCCCACGGCCGGCUGGAACUCCGCCCUCCGGCUCUGAUUGGGUAAAAUUAUAGAGGAAGCUAGAGAGAAUUGGUCCAUAGCACAGAGGCGGGAGUUGCGCGCCUCCGCUUGUUCCCUUCCGAUUGGACAAGGGCAGAAGAUCUACGCAUGCGUGACUGGGCCUACGGACCACGCCAUACAUCACCGCCCUCUAGAUCAGGUUAACGGAAGUCCCUGAGCCCCACCUUCCUGGAUGUGUGGCCAGUAAAAACCAAGAACAUCGAAGGUUCCGCCUUUUCAUGCGGAUGUGGCUUUGCGGCGACUCCCAGCUCUUCUUUCGCUUCCUCAUACUGGGGUGGAAAAUUAUUACGCGGACUAGGGGAGUUGGGGUGAGGCAGGAUUUCGUGGAUCUGAGAUAACCACACGUGAUCGCAAAGCCUAGCGAUACAGGCCGGUUUGAAUGAGCAGUACCGGGCCCAGCAUGGGUAUGACUCAAGGUUGACUGGAGCUCAGAAAAUCUGGAGGAAGGAAGCACAGCAGCGUGCAGACAGACCAGGUGCUGGAGGAGCUGAGAUUUCUACAUCGUGAUCCAAUUCCAGCCAGAGGAGUCUCUUCUGCAGGCAGCCACGAGGAGGGUCUGUUCCACACUGGGCAGAGCCUGAGCAUAGGAGGAGACCUCCAAGUCCACCCCUACAGUGACACACUUCUUCCAACAAGGCCACACCCCCAAACAAUGCCACCCCUGUGGGCCAAGCUUAUUCAAACCACCACACUGGGUAAAGGAUACUGCUGCCAGAUCUAGUAGCGCCAAGCUCAGUGCCUGAAACUCCCAUGGUGGAAGAAGGAGGCAAACUCCUGCAAGUUGUCCUCCGAUAUCUACAUGGGUGCCAUAGCAUGUGUGCAUACCACACUCACACGCUAAAGAAAUACAUGCCAUGUUUAAAGAAAUUGUAAAAACAAUAGAGUUUUAAAACAAUAAACACUAUUAUUUAAAAUGUCAUUAUGUAUGUUAUCUCUCUCUAAAUCUCAGGUUAAUAGUCCAGUAAUGGUACUCUCCUCCAUGAAUUUUACGAAGAUUAAGUAGCAGCUACCUAGUACAGAGGAGGCCUUCACCAUGAAGAUUAAUUAACAGUGUAACUAAGUUGCCUGGUACAGAGGAGGCCUUCAGGAUUAUGAGUGCACAUUCCAACCUUUGCUCCUACUGUAAGGCUGACUCAGACUGUACCCAGGGUGUCAAAAACAAGCUCAUGCUUUGUUUGCAUAUCUUGACCUCUGCAGUUAUUCUCAAAGAACGCAAACCUGCCUUGGACACAAGGAAAGGAGUGGAGGAAGGGUGAUUGUGCUAGGCAUGGUGGUGCAGCUGUAUUAUUAUUAUUGUUAUUAUUAUUAUUAUUAUUAUUAUUAUUAUUAUCAAAGAUGGGAGUCUCUGUAUAUAACCCUGAUGGAUAUGCUUGGCUCUUCUUCCUCUUGAGUGCUGACAAGGUAUAUAUCACAAUUGGCCCCCAAAAUUUUUUUUCAUUUUGUUUUUCAAGACAGGGUUCCUCUGUGUAACAGUUCUGGUUGUCCUGGAACUCAUUUUGUAGACCAGACUGGCCUUGAACGUCUGCCUGCCUCUGCUGGGAUUAAAGGCGUGCACCACAAUGCCUGGCUUUUUAAUAGGAUUUAUUUUAUAUAUGUGUGUAAGUGCCUGCAUAUAUGCAUGUGCAUCCCAUGAGACCCGAAGACCAGAAACUAUACAUGGUUGUGAGCUGUCCUGUGGGUACUAAGAAACCGAACUGCUCUCAACCUCUGCUCUCUCCCCAGCCAUAUAUUUUCAGGACUUCUGAUACUUUUGCCCAGAGUGUCAAAUACCAAUAAUGUUCUCUCUCUCUCUCUCUCUCUCUAUCUAUCUAUCUAUCUAUCUAUCUAUCUAUCUAUCUCUUUAUUUUAGUUUUUUUUUUUUUUUUCAAGACAGGGUGUUUGUCUGUGUAGCCCUGGCUGUGUCACUUGCUCUGUAGAACCAGCUGACCUUGUACUCAGAGAUCCACCUGUGUCUGCCUCCUAGCGCUGGGACUGACGUCAUAGGCUAGCACACCUGGCUUAAAGAUUUGUUUAUUUAUGCAUUUUAUGUAAUGGAUGCUUUCGCUGCUUGUAGGUCUGCAUACCAGAAGCAGGUAUCAGACCCCAUCAUAGACAGUUGUGAUCCACUAUGGGAGUGAUGGGGAUUGAACUCCGGACCUCUGGAAGUCCAGAUAGUGCCCUUAAACUGCCAUCUCUCCAGCUGUCUUAGUUAGGGUUUUACUGCUGUGAACAGACACCAUGACCAAGGUAACUCUUAAAAGGACAACAUUUAAUUGGGGCCGGCUUACAGGUUCAGAGAGUCAGUCCAUUAUCAUGAAGGCAGGAGCAUGGCAGAGUCCAGGCAGGCAUAGUGCAGACUGAGCCCUGAGAGUUCUGUAUCUUCAUCUGAAGGCUGCUAGUGGAAGACUGACUUCCAGGCAGCUAGGAUGAGGGUCUUAUAGCCUACACCCACAGUGACACACCUACUCCAACAGGGCCACACCUUCUAACAGUGCCACUCCCUGGGCCAAGCAUAGACAAACGUUUCAUCACCCCAACCUCUCUUUAUUUUUUUAUCUUGUUAUUUUAAAUGAUUUUGUUUGUUUGUUUAUUUCUUUAACAGGGAUGGGGGGUUAGGUUUGUUUGUUUUAUUUGAGAAAGGAUCCUGAGGUAGCCGAGGCUGCCCUCGAGUUUCUGACUCUCGGACCUCUAUUCCUAAAUUCUAGGACUCUAGGUUGAGCCUCCCAGGACUGCUGGCUGCUCCUUGCUUCCCUUCCUCACUCUUACUCCAUGUUCUGGAGAAGUACUUAAAGUGAUUACUGGUUGCAAUUUUCUAAGCAUUACAGUAAAUGGAUUUGUUUGCCAGAUAACAGAGCAUCGUUAAGAUGUGCCGAGCUCCCUAAACCUGGACCUCAUCCUGAUUAACAAGACCUUAAUAUAGAAACAACAACAAUAAUAUCAACAUUGCGGCCAAGCUGUGUUUGCUUUCGUUCUAAAAAGCAGACUGAAAAGUGUGCCUUCUGAUGAGGGAGGAGAUAGAUGCAGUCACGGUGAGAGCCCCGACAACUUGAAUAAAUUUGUAAUCAGAGGAUCACAGUUGAUUACAGGUGAUUGCUGUCAGGCUCCUGAAGUGAAAGCUUCUCCUCAGUGUGAAAGCUGAUAAAGGGACCACUGAAUAGAUGCCUGUCUCAGUCCUGAACAUUUAUCUAAUGAACGAUCAUUUUCAACCCUUACAUUUAAGUAUUAAAAAUUAAUAAAUGCUAAUUAUUGAUUUGUGCUACAAAACUUAUUACCUUUGAUAAUCAUCUCUCGUGUAAACUCACAGCACGUAAUGAUUUCCUUUCAAGAAAUAAUCUCCCAUGCCCGAAAACUUACUUGACUUGUUCAGAACAAAAGCUGCAGAGAAAAGAGAACUGCUCCUUUCAAAAAGCAAAUCGUGAUGCUGGGUGUAGCUCAGUGGUAUAGCAAGUGGCCGUGUGCCUUGUGUGCCCUGCAUGGCGAGACCCCGGGUUCAACCCCAACUCCAGUAGGAAAAGAAAGCAAAAUAUAAGCACACAGCUGGUGUAAAUGGGCUACGUGAAACUUUUUGUUCCCAUCCCGUGGGAAAAUGCCCUGAACAGAGAUAAGCAAAUCCGAGUUCUCAUACUUGACAGUUGAGAUAAGGAAUGGGAAGAAUUUCAAAGCUUUGCUGAGUCUUGCAUUUGCUGAAGAUGGUCUUGGAGAUAAUCCUGCUGUAAGAGGAAAUGGUUAGGAAGGGUUUUUUCUUUGUCCUGUAGUCCCUCCCUAGAUAGCCCUGUCUGGCAUUGAACUCAAAAUCAUGCUUUUGCCUCCUGACUGCUGGGAUUCUGAGCUUGUGCCACAAUGGCUGGCCUUCACCUUUUGUUUGUUGUGUGCUGCUAGGAGUAGAACCCAUUGCCUACGGCAUUCUUGGAGCUACCCAUGCAUUCACACCCAGCUUCUGAUCUUCAUUUCUUACAUACAAGAAGUCCUCUGAGGGCUGGGGAUUUAGCUCAGUGGUAGAGCGCUUACCUAGGAAGCGCAAGGCCCUGGGUUCGGUCCCCAGCUCCGGAAAAAAAAAAAAAAAAAAAAAAAAAAGAACCGAAAAAAAAAAAAAAAAAAAAAAAAGAA